rnacentral:lncRNA from 10 species
GCAAGACACUUUCCCUGGUAAAGAGAAAUCCUAAAGCUAGCUUGGGAAGUGUUUUAAAACGCAGGUUUUAUUAUGAUUCAGGUAAGGCGAGGCCAACAGAUGUAGAGAUGACUUCCAUUAAAAAGAUAGUAUUUUGUACUUACAGAUCCCAAGUGGGGUCACGCCACGCCACCAGGGCCACAUGAGAAAGCAUGGGGUCCGUAAGGAGACAGAGAGAGUGAGGAGAAAAGACUCCAAGUUCUACGACAUAGCAAGCUGCCCUCUUACUGAAAGCAGUUAGUUCCAAGCUUCUCUGACAUGUGAGCCAAAAGCACUGCAGACUGAUACAAGGCUGGUGUAAUGAAGGCAGAGGGCUGGCCAGACUGGCCAUGUCUACCAGAAUACCAAGCUGAAGGGCAACAGGAAGAGCCAUGAUCAUAACAUUUUAAAGAGAUGACUUAAGAUAUUGCAUAAUAUUUAAAAUAUGCAUAUAUUUAAUAAUUCUUAUAAAAUAUAUAAUAAAUUGCAUAUGUAACAAUGCAUAAAAUGGACUCAAGGGGAAAUAGAAUCAAGAAAAAUAUCAAAUAGAAAGUAACUAAACUCAUGAAUGGAUGAGCAUCCAGAUUGUGAAAAUAAAGAAGAAAAGAGAAGUCUAAGAAUGUUUUAAUAGAGUGGCCACUGCACUUGGCAACAUUGGAUGCAGCACUGAGAAGGACCUGGAUCAAAAGUUCCCAUGAAUUUAGGGUACUACAUUUCAGAGAAGAGUUGGAAAAGAGCGCUUGCAAAAAUGUGGGUGAUAUGGACCUCGACAGGCAGGUAUGGAAUGUGGAUUUAUAGGCUGUUGCUCACCUUAAGACUCCCAGAGUGGAAUGUGAACCCAACUCACACAGCGGUCAGGUUAGUGACACUGGCAAACAGCCCUGACCCCACCCAUGGCACACAGCACUGGGGGUUUUCUCCACGUGGAUCCAUGCCUGGAUGGGACCAGAGACUGUCAUUCACUUCAUCUAGAUCGGCCACCUCCUGAAGCUCUGUUCAAGGCCAUGCAUUUGCUUCCUGUGACUGCUGUAGCACCUUACCACAAACUGGGCGACUUCACCGAAAUGCACUCUGUCAUACUCUGGAAGCCAGAUGUCUGCAGUCAAGAUGUCAGCAGGACCAUGCUCCCCUGAAGGCUCUGGGGAGGACCCUUCCCUGCCUCUCCCAGCCCCUCCACGCUCCCUGUGUCAGCAUCAUCCCCUCUCUGCCUAUCUUCACAUGGCCAUCGCCUCCCGCGUGUCUGAGUCUUCAAGUCUCUCCUUGCAAAGACACCCAUCAUUGGAGGCAGAGCCUGCUGUAAUCCAGUAUGACUUCAUCUUAACUUGGUUACAUCUAUGAAGACCCCGUUUCUAAGUCAAGUCACAUUCACAGGUACUGGGAGUUAGGACUUGAACCUACAUUUUUGGGGAACUCAGUUCAGCCCGUUGCAGGCUACAUGCCCCUGGCCUGGCCUAGGGAGCUGGAACCACUGUUUGCUGUGUGCUAUGUAAAGCCAUCUGCUAGCGUAUCAGAGAUCCAUGCAGCCCUCUCCGCCAACAAAUCAGGAGGGGCUAUGUGGAUGGGACAGAUUUUGUCACUGUUUUUUGUUGUUGUUGUUUAUUUCAUUCCACUCACUGUUUUUAUUUUUUUAGAGGGAGGAAUGGGAGGAGGUGGAGGUCGGGAUGACCUCUCUGGGCUAACCCGGGCUGCCCUCAUGUCCCUCAGUUCCUGGGACCCAAUGUGGAACCCCUGAUAGCUGCGGCUGGAAAUCCAGGCUGGUCGUGGGCCUGAACCCCACCCCUGGGCAGAUCAUAGCCAUGGUCCCUGCAGCCACUCUCUGCCACCUUCACUCUGGGGAUGAAGUGCAGAUUCCAGGAUGGGAGCCGGCCCUCAUCAUGACCACCAUCAUGGACUGUCUAGGCCCUCAGCCCUGGAGCAGUUUCUCCCAAACUCUCAGAUAAUAAAAAUCCACUGUGGGACUCAAACAAACAAACAAGCAAACAAACAGAAUAGGACGUCAUGACUCAUAACCUCCCAGAAGGAGCUGGGUGCUGUUUAUGUUGGCAUUUCUUCUCGUGAUUCUCCUCAUCCAUGACUUUGGAACCACUCUUAAAGGAGCCUUGCACCAUCUGAUAUGGUUUGGAUGUCCCACCCAAAUCUGAUGUUGAAUUGUAAUCCCCAGUGCUGGAGGUGGGGCCUGGUAGGAGGUGUGUGAGUCAUGGGGUUGGAUCUCUUAUGGCUUGGUACUGAGCUCCUGAUAGUGAGUUCUCAAAAGAUCUGAUCAUUUAAAAGCGUGUGGCCUCUCCCCACUCCCUCUUGUUCCUGCCUUCCUGAUGUGAUGCGCAAGCUCUCACUUUGCCUUCUGCCAUGAGUAAAAGGUCCCUGAGGUCUCCCAAGAAGCGAUGCCUGUGCUACGCUUCCAGUGCAGCCUGCAGAACCAUAAGCCAAUUAAACCUCUUUUCUUAUAAAUUACCCAGUCUCAGAUAUUUCUUUGUAGCAAUGCAAGAAUGGCCUAAUACACUAUCCUAAGGCCUGGGCUUCUGUUCAGUGUCACCCAGCCAAACUUUGUUUCUAAGUGAUUGGAGUUUAGUCACAAUAACAGCAACACCCACUCCAAUAGACCAUUCCUGCUGCCCAGGGCCUGUCCUGGUGCCCAACUAUGGCUCUGAUUUUGUGAGUGGGCCUAGGGCUUCUAAUGACUGUUGAGCUCAGAAUUAAAAGUGGAGUCUGGGGUGUGUGUCUGCAUGCAUGUGUAUGUGUGCAUGUGUGUGCAUUCAAGAGUGUGUGUGUGCAUUCACAGGUGUUUCAUUAAUGACCCUGUCUGACACGAGACGGGGGAGAUGAAGACUGAAACAAAAGUAAGACAACCAUAGUCACCCACUGCAGCCUGCUGGGGAAAGGGUGGUUUAUCUCCAGGUUACUUGUCCUGUUAUAAAAUAAAAUCCCACUGGGGGGGGAUUUGGAGACCCCUGAGGCCCUGGUCUGGAAGGAGAAAUGGACUGACAUGGAGAGUUAAACUCCUGUGCCCAAGAGGUUAAUGGCAACAUAGGAACCUCUGGAGCAGAGAA